rnacentral:lncRNA from 10 species
AGUGGCGACCCAAUAAAUACCGGAUCUCCAAAAGCGCUGACAAUUUGCAGACCGGGCCUGGGAGUUAUAGAAAUCACUUCCGAAAUUGGUGGGAGGAAAAAGCGAGGUAUGGAGACACGGGGGCGUAUCCCUCUUCCAGAAUUCACGUUCCUUCCUUUGAUGUCUCAAUACAGAUGAGUCUCUCAAGGAAGGACCCAAGAGAUACUCUCUCCCUACCUCCAUGAGGAAAAUGGAACCCAGGGAGAGCAGCAAGCUGAUAGCAGAAUCAGGAUCACAAUGCAGAUUGCAUUGCUUUGCUUGUGAGGAGACCCCUUCAAGACUGCUGAAAAGAAGCCAUCACAUGCCCUUGGCCAGAAGCCUGGCAUAGUGAAAUUCCGAGAGGGGAGGUGAUGUCCUAAACCUGCCAUCUGCUGACCAAAAUAAUAAUCAUAGCAAUAAUCCGCUGAGCAAAUACCAAUUUGCACUUUGCUGAGUGUUGGAGUUGAGGAGGAAGAGGGGGACUGGAAGAAGCAAUGAGUGUGGUAUAAAGAGACUGGGG